UAGUUCGUGGAGUGAUCUGUCUGCUUAAUUGCGUUUCAAAAUUUAAACCUGAGCGACAAGGUGCUGCUAUCGAAACUGUCUUUGAGUGUGAACUAUAAGUCUUUUGACUUAUGACCAUCACUCUAGACGUUUAUGUUUUGGUGUUGGCCCUUGAUGCUCAUUUGAACGCAACGGACGUGAUUGCAACCCCUUGUUGAGAUUUAUCCGAUCUCUACGUUCACUGAACCACACUCUUUAGCGAGAGCAGUGGGGAUGUGGAUAAACUCGGGGGACUGCUGACUAUAAACUUUUCUCAAACCAGAGGAAGGUUGCGGCAAUAACAGGUCUGUGAUGCCCUCAGAUGUUCCGGGCUGCACACGUGCUACAUUUAGUAGCGCAGUGUGCACAUUAAUAGAGUGAUAGGUUCCGUGGUUUGUACAUUUUAAGGGCUCGUCCUAGUAACCAAAGCUCCACGGGACAUAUCAACCUUCCCCUUACAGGGCGGGUAACCUCUUCGAAGUGCUGGCAUGAUUUCCCUAGUUUUGGCAUUUGAAUCCUUGUCGCAGCAGCCCUGAGACGUAGUGAACGCUGCAAAGUGAUUCCAGUCUUAGGUUUGCGACACAUGCAAUUCCUGGUUGACUCAUCGUG
rnacentral:rRNA from 1 species